UACGUAGGUGGCAAGCGUUGUCCGGAAUUAUUGGGCGUAAAGCGCGCGCAGGCGGUUUCCUAAGUCUGAUGUGAAAGGCCACGGCUCAACCGUGGAAUGGCAUUGGAAACUGGGGAGCUUGAGUACAGGAGAGGAGAGUGGAAUUCCACGUGUAGCGGUGAAAGGCGUAGAGAUGUGGAGGAACACCAGUGGCGAAGGCGGCUCUCUGGCCUACAACUGACGCUGAGGCGCGAAAGCGUGGGGAGCAAACAGG
rnacentral:misc_RNA from 1 species